UUUUGAAGUAUCGGUGCACCAAGUGAAAAAUAAAAUUGCGACGCUUUAGUGACGCUGGAGA
rnacentral:sRNA from 1 species